AUGGCGGCCAUGUCGUCCUUCCGCCUCCUUCCCCUCGCGCUGCUGCUCGCCAUGGCGCACGCGCGGCUGCAGCCCACCAUCCGGCUGCCAUCGGACGACGGCUCCGUCGGGACCAGGUGGGCCGUCCUCGUCGCCGGCUCCAGCGGCUACUACAACUACCGCCACCAGGCGGAUAUUUGCCACGCCUACCAGAUAUUGAAGAAGGGUGGUCUCAAGGAUGAGAACAUCAUCGUCUUCAUGUACGAUGACAUUGCGCACAACCUGGAGAACCCGAGGCCGGGCGUCAUCAUCAACCACCCCCAGGGUGGAGAUGUCUAUGCUGGGGUCCCUAAGGACUACACUGGGAAGGAGGUUAAUGUCAAGAACUUGUUUGCUGUCCUGCUCGGUAAUAAAACCGCUGUGAGUGGUGGGAGCGGCAAAGUCGUGGACAGUGGCCCUAAUGAUCACAUUUUUGUGUUUUACAGUGACCAUGGGGGUCCUGGGGUCAUUGGGAUGCCUACCUAUCCAUACGUUUACGGUGACGAUCUUGUAGAUGUCCUGAAGAAAAAGCACGCUGCUGGAACCUACAAAAGCCUGGUAUUUUAUCUUGAAGCCUGUGAAGCUGGGAGCGUCUUUGAGGGGCUUCUGCCAAAUGACAUCGGUGUCUAUGCGACCACCGCGUCGAACGCGGAGGAGAGCAGUUGGGGAACGUAUUGCCCCGGCGAGUACCCUAGCCCUCCGUCCGAAUAUGACACCUGCUUGGGCGACCUGUACAGUAUUUCUUGGAUGGAAGACAGUGAUGUACACAAUCUGAGAACUGAAUCUCUCAAGCAGCAAUAUGACUUGGUCAAGAAGAGAACGGCAGCUCAGGACUCAUACAGCUAUGGUUCCCAUGUGAUGCAAUACGGUUCUUUGGAUCUGAAUGAUCAACAUCUCUUCUUGUACAUUGGGUCAAAUCCUGCUAACGACAACACUACAUUUGUUGAAGACAACUCACUGCCGUCCUUCUCAAGAGCUGUUAAUCAGAGGGAUGCUGAUCUUGUCUAUUUCUGGCGCAAGUACCAGAAAUUGGCUGAGAGCUCCACUGAGAAAAACGAUGCUCGGAAGCAAUUGCUCGAGAUGAUGAGUCAUAGAUCUCAUAUUGACAACAGCGUCGAGCUGAUUGGAAACCUUCUGUUUGGUUUUGCGGAUGGUCCAAUGGUUCUAAAGACUGUUCGCCCAGCUGGCGAGCCUCUUGCUGAUGACUGGAGUUGUCUCAAGUCUAUGGUGCGUGCUUUUGAAUCACAAUGUGGCUCGUUGGCGCAGUAUGGAAUGAAGCACAUGCGGUCCUUUGCAAACAUCUGCAAUGCCGGCAUCCUUCCUGAAGCGAUGGUGAAGAUGGCUGCUCAGGCAUGCACCAGCAUCCCAACCAACCCCUGGAGUGCCACACACAAUGGUUUUAGUGCUUAA
rnacentral:rRNA from 1 species